rnacentral:rRNA from 1 species
AGUGAACGCUGGCGGCAGGCCUAACACAUGCAAGUCGAACGGCAGCACAGUAAGAGCUUGCUCUUACGGUUGGCGAGUGGCGGACGGGUGAGGAAUACAUCGGAAUCUACUUUUUCGUGGGGGAUAACGUAGGGAAACUUACGCUAAUACCGCAUACGACCUACGGGUGAAAGCAGUGGAUCUUCGGACCUUGCGCGAUUGAAUGAGCCGAUGUCGGAUUAGCUAGUUGGCGGGGUAAAGGCCCACCAAGGCGAUGAUCCGUAGCUGGUCUGAGAGGAUGAGCCGCCACAGUGGAGAGGCGCCACCGUGACGACUACUACGGGAAGCAGCAGUGGAGCAUCCUGGACAAUGGGAGCAAUGAUGGUGCAGCCAUACCGCGGGGGUGAAGGAGUCCUGCGGGUUGUAAAGUCCUUUUGUUGGGAAAGAAAAGCAGCAGGUUAAAAGCCCGCUGUGACGGCGGUAACCAAAGAAUCAGCAGCUACUAACUUC